rnacentral:rRNA from 1 species
GUGUAGCGGUGAAAUGCGUAGAUAUAUGGAGGAACACCAGUGGCGAAGGCGACUUUCUGGUCUAUUAUUGACGCUGAGGCUCGAAAGCAUGGGUAGCAAACAGGAUUAGAUACCCCUGGUAGUCCAUGCCGUAAACGAUGAGUGCUAGGUGUUGGGGGGCUUCCACCCCUCGGUGCCGGCGUUAACGCAUUAAGCACUCCGCCUGGGGAGUACGGCCGCAAGGCUUAAACUCAAAGGAAUUGACGGGGACCCGCACAAGCGGUGGAGCAUGUGGUUUAAUUCGAAGCAACGCGAAGAACCUUACCAGCUCUUGACAUCUUUUGCCAACUCUAGAGAUAGAGUGUUCCCUUCGGGGACAGAAUGACAGGUGGUGCAUGGUUGUCGUCAGCUCGUGUCGUGAGAUGUUGGGUUAAGUCCCGUAACGAGCGCAACCCUUGUUGUCAGUUGCCAGCAUUCAGUUGGGCACUCUGGCGAGACUGCCGGUGACAAACCGGAGGAAGGUGGGGAUGACGUCAAAUCAGCAUGCCCCUUAUGAGCUGGGCUACACACGUGCUACAAUGGAUGGUACAGCGAGUCGCUAAACCGCGAGGUCAAGCUAAUCUCCUAAAGCCAUUCUCAGUCCGGAUUGCAGGCUGCAACUCGCCUGCAUGAAGCCGGAAUCGCUAGUAA